rnacentral:rRNA from 1 species
UACGAAGGGGGCUAGCGUUGCUCGGAAUCACUGGGCGUAAAGCGCACGUAGGCGGCUUCUUAAGUCAGGGGUGAAAUCCUGGAGCUCAACUCCAGAACUGCCUCUGAUACUGAGGAGCUCGAGUCCGGGAGAGGUGAGUGGAACUCCGAGUGUAGAGGUGAAAUUCGUAGAUAUCCGGAGGAACACCGGUGGCGAAGGCGGCUUCCUGGACCGACACUGACGCUGAGGCACGAAAGCGUGGGGGAUCAAACAGG